rnacentral:rRNA from 2 species
GUGCAGCAGGCGCGAAAACUUUACAAUGCUGGCAACAGCGAUAAGGGAACCUCGAGUGCCAGGUUACAAAUCUGGCUGUCGAGAUGCCUAAAAAGCAUUUCAUAGCAAGGGCCGGGCAAGACCGGUGCCAGCCGCCGCGGUAACACCGGCGGCUCGAGUGGUAACCGUUAUUAUUGGGUCUAAAGGGUCUGUAGCCGGCCGGAUAAGUCUCUUGAGAAAUCUGGCAGCUUAACUGUCAGGCUUUCAGGAGAUACUGUCUGGCUCGAGGCCGGGAGAGGUGAGAGGUACUUCAGGGGUAGGGGUGAAAUCUUGUAAUCCUUGAAGGACCACCAGUGGCGAAGGCGUCUCACCAGAACGGACCUGACGGCAAGGGACGAAAGCUAGGGGCACGAACCGGAUUAGAUACCCGGGUAGUCC